ACGGAGAGAGGGAGAGCAUUAGAUGAAGCGGAAACAGAGGGGGACGGAGGAGGAAGGGAAAAAGGAAUUUGGGAUGUGAAGAAAGAGCCUCCGGGGUCAGAGAUGAGCUGAGAGCUGGAGCGGCACUUUACGGCAUGAAGAAAGAAAUACGGUUAAUUGGUGAGAAUUCUCUGUCACUUCAGAUGUCUCAGUUUUUAGUGCUUAUCGUGGUUUUAAAUGAAGAAGAAAAAAAACACUCCUAACAUGGAAAAGCUAUGCUUCUACCCUCCUAAAACUAGCAGUCGAGUUGCAAAGCAUCACUUCAUCAUUUCAUCCUAUGAAGCAUAUGUGUGAACAUGUCAUAAUUAGCAUAUAAAUUAUCGAGCUAUUGUCCCCAAACAUUUGCGUGAGGUCACAGUGACCUUUGACCACCACAUUCUAAUCAACCUCGAGUCUAGGAAAAAAUGGGCCACAUUUAAAGAAAUUCCCUGAUAUCACGCUUUCAAGAGAACGGGACGCACAGAGGGACAACCGGAAAAAAUAUAAUGCCUCAGAACGUAUGAUUUACUUUAAUCCAUAAAAAACACCAUAAGUACAGGGAACGGGAGGUUGAAAAUCACAGAACCACACUGUCGGAUGGAAAUCACACUUUUCAGUCGUCACGCCAUUUUUCCCAUGGGAAAUUGUAAAUGUUAACAGGAUGUGUCUGCUCUUCUUUGUUUUGAGGUCGUUUCCACAUAACUGGUCCUAUAUUAUUUCAUAACGAGUGUGUAAUUUGACAAAUCAUUACCCGAGUAUUUUCCAAGGAAGAUCUUCAUAUUUACGAAAUUGUCGUCCCACACUUCAUAUUUUGUUCCACCUUAAAUUACCAGAUUAAAUAUCCAAAAAGAAACCCAAUUAGAACAUUUGAACCACAAUUACUUUUCCAAGUCAUACAAAAUACAGCAUUUUCCCAUAACUGCAAAAUUGAGACGCACAAUCACUAGAAUAACAGUCUUCUUUUGGCAUGUUGCCCAGUUGUUUUCUUUGCUCACAUCUGUUUUUAUACUCAGUUUUACCACACACACACACACACACACACACACACACACACGGCCUUAGCACCAGUCCAGCAAGUCCAGCACACUGUGGUAUGGGUUUUGCGAGAGUAAAAAUAGCCCAGAGGACAUGGCAAUGCAUGAGGCCGACGGCUGGAGGCAGAGCUCUGGUUUCACUGGGGAAGUGUGGAGAGCUGUUCUCGCACAGGACAAGAGGCAUGUCGCCAGAGGGCGAGCACACGUGUCACAGCACAGGACACCGGCAGUGAGAGAGGGGGGGGGGGGCUUCCACCGCUCCCAGAACACGCCGGUUCUAAUGAAACAUCCCUACGUCGUAUAACUGGGUCGCGGCUCGUCUCAUUUGUGGUUUUAUGCUUCGCUCCAAACGUUCGGGUUUCUCAUUAUUCACUUCUCUCAGGAGGCGUCAGAGUGACUCGGUGUCACGAGUUACAUCAGGCUCCGUCUGAAAUUCCUGAGAGUCAGAGCUCGGAGCUCCGCCAACACACUGACAUUACAUCUCCACCGCCGCAGCUCGUUUUCACCGGUCGCUUUUAGUCAUGGCGUUCAGCUUUUGCCCCAGUCGGACGCCGCCGCGCCAAAGUGGAACGGUGUCUACUCAGAAAACCAGAGAGUUGGUGUCGAUGGCGGUCAUUACCAUGCGGUGAAAAAAGUGCAGCGAGGGAAACAAUGCGCUCCAGCUGAAUAACCCCCUGCCACUGGUUACCGUGGGAGCGGCUGGAAUGUCGCUGGCCAGUCAGCGGCCUCAGAAGCCUGCUGCUGGCUCUGUAAACCAUGUCAGGCGAAGAAUGUCCCGAUGUUACACCACCAACGAGGAAAGAUGUCCAAAACAACAUCAUAAAUAACGGAACACUCGCCGUUUUCGUUCGGUACAUUGGGGGUCAAACGAGGAUUACAAAAAAUCAAAGUCCUGUGAGUCCAAUUAAAAGAGGCUGCCCAUCAUGAAUUAGAGGGUGUAGAAACCUACAGGACUAAUCGGAUGGUGCAAAAACAGGUCGCAAGUCAAUAUUAGAAAUAUGCUUAUAGUUUAUAGAUGUUGUAAACAAAUGUAUGCAUGAGAAAAAGGAGUGUGUGUGUGUGUGUUUGUGUGUAUGUGUUUGUGUGUAUAGAGUGGAGCCCGACAGACAUAACAGCAUAAACGAUGAUAACUUCCGGUGGAGGCCGAUAAGUACAGAGUCCAACAUAUUGAUCGAAGCAGCUUUAAGGAUUCCUUGUGUUUGUCAAUAUUUAUCUUCGCGUUGAAAAUGCGGAAGGUUAUGUUUUGAUCGCCGUGUAUUUAUUUAUUUAUUUGUAUGCGUGUUACUCGCAUAACUUAAAAAGCAUUAAACCGAAUCGCAUGAAAUUUGGUGGGAUGGUUGGUUAUUAUCCGGGGACCAUUUGAUUAGAUUUUGGGAUCGAUCGGGUCAAAGGUCAAGGUCAUGAAAAGGUCAACAUCUUCUUUUUACAAUAGCACGGUCAAUUUGUAUCCAAUUGGCAUGCAACUAAUGCCAAAAUGUUCAUAAUUCAAUGCCCAAUCUUGUGAUAUGCGAAGGUAUGCGCUCUACCGAGUGCCCGUUCUAGUUGUUUAUGUUACAGAACAAAUCAGAUGUGUUAAUACCAGUGUUAAAAAUGGUUUAUCAUUCAGGCUCAAUAGUGCAGAGAAAUGCAUAUUUUCUACUCUUACCAAAUCCUUGGGUGGUCCGUUUUGAGGCAGGUGUGUAUAUGCACACAUAAAGAUUUUUAAAAAAGGU